rnacentral:tRNA from 1 species
UUAGUCGAAACCAAAAAGAGGUAUAUCACUGUUAAUGAUAAAAUUGAAUAAUCAAUUCCGUCUAAG